rnacentral:lncRNA from 1 species
UAAGACCUCCAUUCAUAACUAGAGAAUAUGAAGCAGAAGAAAUACAAGCCAUUAUCCAUCCAAUGAACUUGGCAGGAAAUCCCAAUGCAAUAAGAACUUGCUUCAAGAAGCUCCACUCUAAAGUAUCAUAGGCCUUCCUGAGAUCCACUUUUAGAACACAUUUUAUUUUCUUCAUUAUUUGUUCUAAAAAUAACUUAACAACUAAAUAAUCCUAAAAUAUUAAAUUAGAUCCUAAAUGCAAAUGUUAAGUGUAUUUUUUAUAUGAAUUAAAAUUCACAAAUAAAAUGCAAAUAAUUAGCAGAAAAUAACACAAAAUUCACAAAAUUAUAAAAUAAUAAAAGAAAUUAUUUUAUUUGAAUUUUUGGGAAUAAUUCAUAUAGGGCAAAAAUCAUGUGCUCGUGACCAUUGGCACCCCUUUCUGUUCACCAGUUCCCAUUGAUUCUAUCAUUUACAGAAAGCAUAAUGUUGAAGUCUCUUAGCACAAGCCAAGCCUCCACCAUAGUAUUGUUAAUUUGUCUUAUCAGCUUCCAUAUUUCCUGUCUUAUCUGGUUUCAUUUGAGUUCCAGCUUGUAUUAUGGUUAUGUCCACUUGUUGUGCCUUCCACAAUAUCCAUAUUCUCCCAUUAGGAUCAUAUGAAUAGUUUGAAAAUAUGUCCGAAUUCCCAAACUUCCUUCUAAUCUUUUUCUCAUUCUUAACUUUACUUUUGUCUCAAGGCAUCCCAAUAUAGUUAUUUUAUUUUUCAGCAGAAAGGCUUUGAGUUCUUUUUGCUUAUAGGGCUCAUUAAGUCCUCUAAUAUUCCAAGAGCUAAUGAUCAUGGGGGAUGAGUAAGGGGUACUCUUCCUUCUUUAGAUGCUAGGCUAACAUCCUCUCCUUCUUGAAUUCUUAGAGCCCUAAAUCUGUUUUGGUGUAGGAAGUUUUCAAUGGCCUCUUCAGACAUACCCUUCCUUGUUGAUGUUUUCACCUUAGGACUCUGCACCAGUUUCCCUAUUGAGUUGGCUACCUGGAGUUCAUCUUUUUCUUUGUGCUCACUCCCUGUAGUAACUGUUUCUUGUAUUGCUGCAAUCACAUGUUCUUUGCUAACUUGUUUAUCCGGAGCUUCCACAAUUUGCUUAGGUUUGGCAAUUCACUUUGUGAGUGGAUUCCUCCCCUUCCAUGGUUGAUUUUCCCCCUGACUUUUUGGAAUAGGCCCAGGCUGCUUCAUCACUUAUGCUGGAGCUCUACAUUGUCGCAUGACCAAUUACUAGACAUUCUUGAUCUUUAUUAUAUAACGGUAACAACAACAAUCAUGCCUUGAUCUUUAUUAUAGUAGUACUUAAUAUCAUUUGGCAUUCCUUUAAGUUCUUGCAAAAUUUCUACAUCUGAAACACUCUUGACAAGUU